GGUUAAGCGACUAAGCGUACACGGUGGAUGCCCUGGCAGUCAGAGGCGAUGAAGGACGUGCUAAUCUGCGAUAAGCGUCGGUAAGGUGAUAUGAACCGUUAUAACCGGCGAUUUCCGAAUGGGGAAACCCAGUGUGUUUCGACACACUAUCAUUAACUGAAUCCAUAGGUUAAUGAGGCGAACCGGGGGAACUGAAACAUCUAAGUACCCCGAGGAAAAGAAAUCAACCGAGAUUCCCCCAGUAGCGGCGAGCGAACGGGGAGCAGCCCAGAGCCUGAAUCAGUGUGUGUGUUAGUGGAAGCGUCUGGAAAGGCGCGCGAUACAGGGUGACAGCCCCGUACACAAAAAUGCACAUGCUGUGAGCUCGAUGAGUAGGGCGGGACACGUGGUAUCCUGUCUGAAUAUGGGGGGACCAUCCUCCAAGGCUAAAUACUCCUGACUGACCGAUAGUGAACCAGUACCGUGAGGGAAAGGCGAAAAGAACCCCGGCGAGGGGAGUGAAAAAGAACCUGAAACCGUGUACGUACAAGCAGUGGGAGCACGCUUAGGCGUGUGACUGCGUACCUUUUGUAUAAUGGGUCAGCGACUUAUAUUCUGUAGCAAGGUUAACCGAAUAGGGGAGCCGAAGGGAAACCGAGUCUUAACUGGGCGUUAAGUUGCAGGGUAUAGACCCGAAACCCGGUGAUCUAGCCAUGGGCAGGUUGAAGGUUGGGUAACACUAACUGGAGGACCGAACCGACUAAUGUUGAAAAAUUAGCGGAUGACUUGUGGCUGGGGGUGAAAGGCCAAUCAAACCGGGAGAUAGCUGGUUCUCCCCGAAAGCUAUUUAGGUAGCGCCUCGUGAAUUCAUCUCCGGGGGUAGAGCACUGUUUCGGCAAGGGGGUCAUCCCGACUUACCAACCCGAUGCAAACUGCGAAUACCGGAGAAUGUUAUCACGGGAGACACACGGCGGGUGCUAACGUCCGUCGUGAAGAGGGAAACAACCCAGACCGCCAGCUAAGGUCCCAAAGUCAUGGUUAAGUGGGAAACGAUGUGGGAAGGCCCAGACAGCCAGGAUGUUGGCUUAGAAGCAGCCAUCAUUUAAAGAAAGCGUAAUAGCUCACUGGUCGAGUCGGCCUGCGCGGAAGAUGUAACGGGGCUAAACCAUGCACCGAAGCUGCGGCAGCGACGCUUAUGCGUUGUUGGGUAGGGGAGCGUUCUGUAAGCCUGCGAAGGUGUGCUGUGAGGCAUGCUGGAGGUAUCAGAAGUGCGAAUGCUGACAUAAGUAACGAUAAAGCGGGUGAAAAGCCCGCUCGCCGGAAGACCAAGGGUUCCUGUCCAACGUUAAUCGGGGCAGGGUGAGUCGACCCCUAAGGCGAGGCCGAAAGGCGUAGUCGAUGGGAAACAGGUUAAUAUUCCUGUACUUGGUGUUACUGCGAAGGGGGGACGGAGAAGGCUAUGUUGGCCGGGCGACGGUUGUCCCGGUUUAAGCGUGUAGGCUGGUUUUCCAGGCAAAUCCGGAAAAUCAAGGCUGAGGCGUGAUGACGAGGCACUACGGUGCUGAAGCAACAAAUGCCCUGCUUCCAGGAAAAGCCUCUAAGCAUCAGGUAACAUCAAAUCGUACCCCAAACCGACACAGGUGGUCAGGUAGAGAAUACCAAGGCGCUUGAGAGAACUCGGGUGAAGGAACUAGGCAAAAUGGUGCCGUAACUUCGGGAGAAGGCACGCUGAUAUGUAGGUGAAGUCCCUCGCGGAUGGAGCUGAAAUCAGUCGAAGAUACCAGCUGGCUGCAACUGUUUAUUAAAAACACAGCACUGUGCAAACACGAAAGUGGACGUAUACGGUGUGACGCCUGCCCGGUGCCGGAAGGUUAAUUGAUGGGGUUAGCCGCAAGGCGAAGCUCUUGAUCGAAGCCCCGGUAAACGGCGGCCGUAACUAUAACGGUCCUAAGGUAGCGAAAUUCCUUGUCGGGUAAGUUCCGACCUGCACGAAUGGCGUAAUGAUGGCCAGGCUGUCUCCACCCGAGACUCAGUGAAAUUGAACUCGCUGUGAAGAUGCAGUGUACCCGCGGCAAGACGGAAAGACCCCGUGAACCUUUACUAUAGCUUGACACUGAACAUUGAGCCUUGAUGUGUAGGAUAGGUGGGAGGCUUAGAAGUGUGGACGCCAGUCUGCAUGGAGCCGACCUUGAAAUACCACCCUUUAAUGUUUGAUGUUCUAACGUUGACCCGUAAUCCGGGUUGCGGACAGUGUCUGGUGGGUAGUUUGACUGGGGCGGUCUCCUCCUAAAGAGUAACGGAGGAGCACGAAGGUUGGCUAAUCCUGGUCGGACAUCAGGAGGUUAGUGCAAUGGCAUAAGCCAGCUUGACUGCGAGCGUGACGGCGCGAGCAGGUGCGAAAGCAGGUCAUAGUGAUCCGGUGGUUCUGAAUGGAAGGGCCAUCGCUCAACGGAUAAAAGGUACUCCGGGGAUAACAGGCUGAUACCGCCCAAGAGUUCAUAUCGACGGCGGUGUUUGGCACCUCGAUGUCGGCUCAUCACAUCCUGGGGCUGAAGUAGGUCCCAAGGGUAUGGCUGUUCGCCAUUUAAAGUGGUACGCGAGCUGGGUUUAGAACGUCGUGAGACAGUUCGGUCCCUAUCUGCCGUGGGCGCUGGAGAACUGAGGGGGGCUGCUCCUAGUACGAGAGGACCGGAGUGGACGCAUCACUGGUGUUCGGGUUGUCAUGCCAAUGGCACUGCCCGGUAGCUAAAUGCGGAAGAGAUAAGUGCUGAAAGCAUCUAAGCACGAAACUUGCCCCGAGAUGAGUUCUCCCUGACCCUUUAAGGGUCCUGAAGGAACGUUGAAGACGACGACGUUGAUAGGCCGGGUGUGUAAGCGCAGCGAUGCGUUGAGCUAACCGGUACUAAUGAACCGUGAGGCUUAACCUU
rnacentral:rRNA from 1 species